UGACUCGUUCCUCCUGUCAGGAGGAAGUUAUUGUUAGCGUAGCUUCGCAACAAUAUAGAGGAGAGGAAAGUGUUUUCCUAACACGCUGGCCCUUUUUAGCAUUCGGUAAGAUCUCAAUUCUUACCGAAUGGCUGACUGACAACUUAAAAAAAAGGUGAAAGCAUAGUCUAGCCUGUAACGAAAGUUACAGAAAAGAAAAAUAAAAUUUGGGAUUAUGUGGAUUAAUUCGAUGCAACGCGAAGAACCUUACCAGGGUUUGACAUGUCUAGAAUUUCCCAGAAAUGGGAAAGUGCCUUAAAUAAAUCUUUGGAACUAGAACACAGGUGGUGCAUGGCUGUCGUCAGCUCGUGCGUUGACGUGUACGGUUAAGUCCUGCAACGAGCGCAACCCUCGUCUUUAGUUAAAUUUCUAAAGAGACUGCGCGCGCAAGCGCUGAGGAAGGUGAGGAUGACGUCAAGUCAGCAUGCCCCUUACACCCUGGGCGUCACACGUAAUACAAUGGUUGGGACAAUCAGAAGCUACCCCGCGAGGGCACGCAAAUCUGCUAAACUCAACCUCAGUUCGGAUUGCAGGCUGCAACUCGCCUGCAUGAAGCCGGAAUCGCUAGUAAUCGCCAGUCAGCCAUAUGGCGGUGAAUACGUUCCCGGGUUUUGUACACACCGCCCGUCACACCAAAAAAAUAGAGGUGUAUUUACGUCGAGAACCCAACCGUAUAACGGAGGGAGUCGCCCACAUAAACCUCUGUAAUUAUGGUGAAGUCGUAACAAGGUACCCCUACUGGAAGGUGGGGGUG
rnacentral:rRNA from 1 species